rnacentral:lncRNA from 1 species
UUGAGUUUAGUUGAGUUGAGAUGAGUAGACAUCUAUCUAACUUAUUUAUUACUACCACACAGUCCUAAUGGAACCCUAAAAGCAGCAUUCAUCUAAGCAAUUACUACCACACAGUCCUAACUCUAACAAGCAUUUAAUUAACCUAACAACUAGCCAGACCAAAGCAAUUAGUAAAAAGUUAGCGAAUGAGGAGCUGUACUAACCUCACCGACAGUCUUGUGUAGUGGUUGCUUCUUGAAGUUACAGGAGGAGGAGCUUCAGUCGAGAGGUCAAAGCCUCUUAGGCAACAGGAGUCCAUAGAAUGACAAAAGUCCCUGCCAUAAUUAACAACACAAACUGUAAUCAACACAAACUAUAAUUAAUCUUUCAAUCAACACAAACUGUAAUGAAUCUUACAAGUUAUAUUACAACAGAUACUACAUUUCGAGGAGUGAUGUUUUAACGAAUGCUAUUAAGCAAUCAACAGAAACCGUAAUUAAUCUUUCAACAACAUCCUAGUUCAUACGCAUUCACAGAUCAAAACAGAACAAGCAUGUUGAAGAUUAAUGUCAGUGUAUCCUCAUGACUUUUUAACUAAACAAUC